rnacentral:rRNA from 1 species
UUGGUGGUAGAAGCGCUUCCGCAUUCAACACAUGCAUAUGCCCCUGUCCGUGGAGGUUACUGUGAACAAAACAGCGUGUCCAAAGCAACCACAUGUCUGGCUGAAUGAUCUAGCAUGGAAUAACAAGGCAUCGACCACUGGAGUCAGCCUUUUUGUUGGUUUUACAUGACCCAGUUGGGCAAUGCAGGGCUUGUGCUUCAUUGAGGUUCUUAGUCAGCUCUACCGAACUGUCUUCCCUCAGUUGGACCUUGUUCCCUAUCGGGAUCAAUGGAAGCCAUCGGGGUGGUAUGUAUUCCGACGUGAGCGGUGAAAUGCUUAGACCGUUGGAAGACAAACGACAGCGAAGGCAUUCCGCCAGAAUGUUUUCAUUAAUCAAGAACGAGAGUGUGGGGAUCGAAGAUGAUCAGAUACCACCGUAGUCCAUUACCGUAAACUAUGCCAACUCGGCAUUGGGAGUCUGUUCACUUUGAAGACUCUCCCAGCAUCAUCCCCCAAUAAGGAGAAAUCCAAGUCUAUGGGUUUAGGGGGGAGUACAGUCGCAAGGCUGAAACUUAAAGGAAUUGACGGAAUGACACCACAAGGCGUGGAGUAUGCGGCUUAAUUUGACUCAACACGGGGAAGCUUACCAGGUCAGACACAGUAAGGAUUGACAGAUUGAGAGCUCUUUCUUGAUCCUAUGGAUGGUGGUGCAUGGCCGUUUCUGGUUCGUGGAGUGAUCUGUCUGCUUAAUUGCGAUAACGAACGAGAUCUCUACCUCUAAAUAGGCGCCGGUCUCGCAUGUAAGUAGGGAUGUGUUGGGGGCCUUCGUGUCCCCUCAUGUCCUGAGAGUGCCGGGAUCGCUUCUUAGACGGACUGUGCAUGUCUUUAAUGCACGGAAGAGGGAGUCAAUAGCAGGUCUGUGAUGCUCCUAGAUGUUCUGGGCUGCACGCGCACUACACUGGCACAGUAAACGAGUUGCACCUGCUUCGGCAGUCCUGCUUAGAAGUGAGCGUGGGAAAUCUUAGAAAACUGUGCCGUGCUGGGGAUAGAUGAUUGCGAUUAUUUGUCUUGAACGAGGAAUGCCUAGUAGAGGUACUUCAUCAGAGUACCUUGAUUGUGUCCCUGCCAUUUGUACACACCGCCCGUCGUUGCUACCGAUUGGCUGUAAAAUAGAGGCCUUAAGAGUCGCUUCCGCAAAGCUUUGCUUUUGAGGUUGUGACAAAUCUGGCCAAUAUUUCAUUGCUAGAGGAAGCAAAAGUCGUAACAAGG